AACAAAACAACUCAAAGAGAUUAAGAGAUGAAUAUUAUAUUCAGAAUCAAAUUCUUCGGAGAAAUUGGAGUUUAACUUAAAAGCUUCAAUUUUUCUCUCAAGUUUCUUCAAGAGGCUUGCGUUUGUGUGCAAUUGUAAAAUCUAAUAUCAAAUCAAGUAAACUCUUGCAAAGGUGCGACCAAACUUCACAAAAAUUUAGGUGUGUAUUUCCAACUGCAUCUGAUUAAACUAAAAGAGAUCGAGACAUCGCGUUUAAAAAUUUUCAGAAACAUAAAGAAGAAUAAAGUCGCAUGGAUGAGAAUCCAAAAAAAACUUCAAGUAGCAAAACUACAAGACAUAAGAGUCGUAGCAAAGGGAAUGAACCCACCAACAAGAGAUUUAACACUGCCGACGAUAGCGAAGUCGAUUCGAUAGAGUGUUCAGGCAAAUAUUGCAAAUCAUGCACAACAGGAUUAGUAGCUGAUUGUGUUGCCCUAUGUUGUUGUCCUUGUGUUGUGUUACAUUGUUUUGCUUUGGCUUUUAUAAAGGCACCUUGGGUUAUGGGAAGAAAAUGUUUGGGAUUAGGGAGCAAGAACAAGAAGAAUAAGAAGAAGAGGUGUUGUCAUAAGAAGAGAUGCAAAAUGGGGCACAAAGAUGUUGAUGAUGAUGAUGUGUUGGAAGAGAAAAAGGAUGAGGAUUUGAAUGUAGGGUGGCCAACAUCACCAAUGGAUAGUGCUCAUGUUAAUGUUGGAUUUGAAGCUGAAAAGGUUUGGCAUGAGUUGUAUCAAAUUGGUCAUUUAGGUUUUAGUAGGGUUUCUUUCUCAAAUGAUUAAUUUCAUUGCUUUUCCUCAAUUUUUUUUACGUUGAAAUUGAUAUUGAGUUUGACAAAAUCACAACGAAUAACUGUAAUUUUGACACAAUUUUGAUUUUAAAAUUUCAGAUGAAUUAUUGUGUCACUAUGAUUCGAUUAUAGUAAUUAUGAUUGAGUGUG